AGCGAUGUAGCUCAGGGGAAGAGCGCCGGGCUCAUAACCCGGAGGUCAGUGGAUCGAAACCACUCAUCGCUA